GUUUAGGGGCCUCUUCCAUGUCGACGUCUCCCUCUUGUUCAGAGGUCUGCCCUUGUUCAGAGGCGUCGAGCAUUUUCACGUCCGUAUCGACUUCAGCGAGUACCUCAGUUAGAAUUACAUUAAUAGUUCGGGGCUCGGACUUUCGCAGCGAGUUUAGGUAGCAUGCCCUAGAGCCCAUCUGAUCGCCUCGGACCGUAGCAAUCCCAUGUUCGGUUGGAAAUUUCAUGCACAAAUAGUGAAUGGACGUGACAGCCCAAAGAUCUUUCAGAGCAGGUCUGCCCAAUACUCCAUGAUAAGUCGAUCUGUGAUCUACCACCAGAAAUUUCAUGAAGUGCUGGGCCACUAGGGGUGCCGAACCCAUUUUGACAGGCAGGGUGAUCCGCUCUCGUAGGAUGAUGAUGUCCCCAGUGAAUCCGAAUAGUGGGUCGGUCAUGGGGAUCAACCCAUGUUCAAUUUGCAUUUUGUCAAAAGUGGAGCCGAACAAUAUGUUCACGGAACUGCCAUUGUCAAUGAGCAUGCAUCUUAAUCCGUUUCUAGCUACUACGGCUCUUACAACCAAUGCAUCACAAUGGGGGUGGUGAACUCCCUCUGAGUCUUCCUGGGAGAACGUGAUUGGGGCCAUCCUAUUUGCUGAUUUCGAUUCGUUGACAAUAUAAGUGAUCAUUGAGGGAUUCUUUGUUUCUCUUGUGUAAUUUCUCUGGGCAUUCCUAGUGUUGCCACUGACGUGGGGUCUCCCAAUGAUAGUAUCGAUUUCCCUGAUGACCUGGCUUCCAGAAAAUUGGGCUUGGUUUCCCUGUCUGGAUUGACCUUGGUCCCUUGAUUCUCUUCUCCGAGGAGAUUGUUCCCUGUGACCUCUCCCUCCCCUCCUUGGGGAGGUGGAUCUGCGAGGGUGUUCGUUCCUGCUGGAAGUGUGCGGGUUGCUUCGAUUAGGGCGUCGAUUGGCGUCACGACACUCACUAGUGUCAUGUCCAUAGAGUUGAUGGAACGUACAAAACCUUGCUCCUUCCAAGGGUCUGUUUGACCUCUUUUUCUUCUUCUUCUUCUUGUUAUCAGUUCUUCCAGAUGGUCCCGUUUCGGUAGGGGCAUUAUCAUAUGCCAGCACCGGUACUACAUUCAAUGUAGUGGGAGCUAGGGCCUGUCCAGAUGUGGGAGCUAUGGUAUGUCCUACUUGGG
rnacentral:lncRNA from 1 species